rnacentral:rRNA from 1 species
UACGAACCGUCCAAACGUUAUUCGGAAUUACUGGGCGUAAAGGGCGCGUAGGCGGCCUGCUAAGUCGAACGUGAAAUCCCUGGGCUCAACCCAGGAACUGCGUCCGAUACUGGUUGGCUUGAGACCGGAAGAGGUAAGUGGAACUGCGAGUGUAGAGGUGAAAUUCGUAGAUAUUCGCAAGAACACCAGUGGCGAAGGCGGCUUACUGGUCCGGUUCUGACGCUGAGGCGCGAAAGCGUGGGGAGCAAACAGGG